rnacentral:rRNA from 1 species
AGAGUGAACGCUGGCGGUAGGCCUAACACAUGCAAGUCGAACGGCAGCACAGUAGGAGCUUGCUCUUACGGGUGGCGAGUGGCGGACGGGUGAGGAAUACAUCGGAAUCUACCUUUUGGUGGGGGAUAACGUAGGGAAACUUACGCUAAUACCGCAUACGCCCUUCGGGGGAAAGCCGGGGACCAGCAAUGGCCUGGCGCUGAUAGAUGAGCCGAUGGCGGAUUAGCUAGUUGGUGAGGUAAUGGCUCACCAAGGCGACGAUCCGUAGCUGGUCUGAGAGGAUGAUCAGCCACACUGGAACUGAGACACGGUCCAGACCUCCGUACGGGAGCAGCAGGUGGGGAAUAGUUGGACAAGUCGGGGACG